UGCUAGAGAACAGGACACAGAAGG
rnacentral:piRNA from 1 species